CACUAUGCUUAGCCGUAAACAUUGACAGUAAAAUACAAUUUCUGUCCGCCUGGGUACUACGAGCAUUAGCUUAAAACCCAAAGGACUUGGCGGUGCUUUAGACCCACCUAGAGGAGCCUGUUCUAGAACCGAUAAUCCCCGUUCAACCUCACCCUUCCUUGCUCGUCCCGCCUAUAUACCACCGUCGCCAGCUUACCCUGUGAAGGCCAAAAAGUAAGCGGAAUUGGCACUGCCCAGAACGUCAGGUCGAGGUGUAGCGAAUGGAGGGGGAAGAAAUGGGCUACAUUCCCUUUUAAAUAUAGGGUACUACGAAAGAUGCACUGAAACCGCGCAUCUGAAGGAGGAUUUAGCAGUAAGCGGAAAGUAGAGUGUUCCACUGAAACCGGCUCUUAAGCGCGCACACACCGCCCGUCACUCUCCCCAAAACCCCCCUAAACACUAAUUAAUCCACCAAAAAACCAUAGAGGGGAGGCAAGUCGUAA
rnacentral:rRNA from 1 species